rnacentral:rRNA from 1 species
CGGAGUUAGCCGGGGUUUCGUUUACCAGGUACUGUCAUUAUCAUCCCUGGCGAAAGAGCUUUACGAUCCUAAGACCUUCAUCACUCACGCGGCAUGGCUAGAUCAGGCUUGCGCCCAUUGUCUAAGAUUCCCC